rnacentral:rRNA from 1 species
AUGGGUCAUUCAGGGUUUUCCUUUUCCUUUUCCUUUUCUGUACUGCAUAUGGUGUUAGAUUACAAUUUGCGUAUCAGCUAUGAGGGAAAAGAGCUGAAGUGGGUAUAUUUGAAAUUGUUACACUGUAGAUAUCUCAAAUCAAGUGCCAUGUGUAAUGGAGUAUUAUUAUUGGUGUCCACUGUUAGUAGAUUAUCCUGCCUGUCAAUCCAAUUGAUUGUACGAUGGACCUGUGACUUCGUACUAUUAUUGUUCGCCGAAUGUUCUGAGUAUUUGGUGCUUGAUAAAUGUCCAAGUUGUUGGACUUUUGAGAGUUAA